AGUGAACGCUGGCGGUAGGCCUAACACAUGCAAGUCGAACGGCAGCACAGUAAGAGCUUGCUCUUACGGGUGGCGAGUGGCGGACGGGUGAGGAAUACAUCGGAAUCUACUUUUUCGUGGGGGAUAACGUAGGGAAACUUACGCUAAUACCGCAUACGACCUACGGUGAAAGCAGGGGAUCUUCGGACCUUGCGCGAUUGAAUGAGCCGAUGUCGGAUUAGCUAGUUGGCGGGGUAAAGGCCCACCAAGGCGACGAUCCGUAGCUGGUCUGAGAGGAAGAUCAGCCACACUGGAACUGAGACACGGUCCAGACUCCUACGGGAGGCAGCAGUGGGGAAUAUUGGACAAUGGGCGCAAGCCUGAUCCAGCCAUACCGCGUGGGUGAAGAAGGCCUUCGGGUUGUAAAGCCCUUUUGUUGGGAAAGAAAAGCAGCAGGUUAAUACCCCGCUGUUCUGACGGUACCCAAAGAAUAAGCACCGGCUAACUUCGUG
rnacentral:rRNA from 1 species